GACGAACGCUGGCGGCGUGCUUAACACAUGCAAGUCGAACGGAAAGGCCCUGCUUGCAGGGUACUCGAGUGGCGAACGGGUGAGUAACACGUGGGUGUACUGCCCUGCACUUCGGGAUAAGCCUGGGAAACUGGGUCUAAUACCGGAUAGGAGCCAUUUUUAGUGUGAUGGUUGGAAACUUUUUUCGGUGUGGGGUGAGCUCGCGGCCUAACAGCUUGUUGGUGGGGUAAUGGCCUACCAAGGCGGCGACGGGUAGCCGGCCUGAGAGGGUGGACGGCCACAUUGGGACUGAGAUACGGCCCAGACUCCUACGGGGGGCAGGAGGGGGGAAUAUUGCACAAUGGGCGCAAGCCUGAUGCAGCGACGCCGCGGGGGGGAAGACGGCCUUCGGGUUGUAAACUCCUUUCGCUAGGGACGAAGCUUUUUGUGACGGUACCUAGAUAAGAAGCACCGGCUAACUACGUG
rnacentral:rRNA from 1 species